AUUUUGCCAUCUGUAAAACGGACAUGAGGACAUCCUCCUUGCUACACAGCUGCUGGGAGAACUGAUUGAGAUCAUGUUUAUUAACACUCCUAACACAGUGCCUGGAACUUCGGUGGGACCCAAUAAAAUAAGAAUCCAUUGGUUUUCAGAGGCUUCGAGAGCCAUUGAGCCUGCUGAGGCCAUGAUUAUUCUAUUAGCCACCGGCAAGCUGAGAAGCGGAUUCCAAAACAGGCCAAGUGCAGACGCCAGGGCACGUGAGCGGCGCGAGCCGGCAGCACAGCGCUGAGCCCGCGAAUCCCCCAGCCCCGAGUUCACAAACUCGCGUGGGAGUGCACACUAAGGAAGAUUCCAAGGAGAAAAUGAAAAGCAGGAAGGGAAAAAACAACACAGAGACAGUGACUGACUUGCAGUCCUAAGGAGAGGAGGCAUUUCCGGAAGCAAACAAAAACAGUUUCUUUUUCUGCCUGUGACAAGAGAGUAAACAAGGCGCCAGCAGCUUUUGCAAAAAGAAACGGUGCGGCCAGAAGCCUCAGGUGCAACCGCCGCCUCGGGCUUAUUCCCUAACUUUGGGGGGGAAACCGGCGAUGUCAGUUCCAGCCCGCGUUCCCCACCGCCGGGCGCGCACUCCCGCCGCCCGGAGCGGACCUGUGGCUGCGCUGUGUACAGGAUGACAUCCCAACCAACGGAGCCACCUAGCCAGGGCAAAGGAGGACCUGAUCCCUUCUCCACUGGAUCUGAAGUGGGACCAUGUGAAGUGUGGGACUGCUGCGGUUGUGAAGAAAGUUUGUGGGCCUGCCAGCGCUGAGGACAGAGUCAGCCCAGGCUGAAGAGAAACUGUGCUGAGAGGCAGAGCCUGACAGUGCCACCUGAGUCCUGCUGUCAUCUUGAAACCCUGGACUCCCACAGUUACCCAACACCAUACAGUCUCAAUUUUUGCUUAACCCCGAUUCUUACAACUAAUAGAGUCCUAAUUUAUAUAUCACCAGAGCUUAUGAUCAGCAUAAGAAGUCCUGUUACCAAGUUAACUAUUACAAUUUCAGCCUUAAGUAAAGAUAAUUGUCUACCCAGGCCUCAGGAAAUAGCAAAAUAACUAGGAACAUUCCUUCUACUAAAGAAUUUUUCUAUCACUAGAGGGUGCUAGAUACCAUCUCAGCCAAGUAAGGAAGAAACUGAAUAAUUUCAUGUCUAUCAAUUAAUCCUAUAUAAUAAAAGGGUAAUAUGCAAAUUGACCCUAACAGUGGAAUGGCCAAGAAGGACUGGUCGCUAUGGUGCACACUGACCCCCAGGGGCAGACACUCAACGCAGGAGCUAUCCCCAGUGGUCAGUGCACUUCCACAGGGGGAGCGCCACUCAGCCAGCAGCCGGCUCAUGGCUGGCCAGCGCAGCGGUGGUGGGAGCCUCUCCCACCUCCGUGGAAGCGCUAAGGAUGUGCAACUAACAGCUAAGCCCUUAGUCAGAUAUCUCCUGAGGGCUCCCAGACUGCAAGAGGGAUAUCUGACUGCCAGCUUAGGUAUGAUCCCCCUCAGAAGUUUAUUUUAUCUUAUUUUUGCAAUUUGCAAAUGGUCUUCUCAAGGCCACGUGGACUAUCAACAUCUAAGUGACAAUUUAGGUGGGCCCUGCCCAUACCUACCAACAUCAGUGCCUUUUACUUUCCUGUACUGUUUUCCUCCUUCACCAGAUUAGAGGGCAUAAGCAUUGCCUGCACUCCAUCAUCUUCGCUUCUCCACAAAGAAAACAGGAUUUUAAAAUUUUUUCUGGAAAAGAACUAAAAAGGAAUUGUUAGAUUAGGCCUAAGCCGGCAGGUGGACAUCCCUUGAAAGCUCCUGGACUGCAAGAUGGCACAGGCCGGGCUGAGGGACAUC